ensembl:lincRNA
AGAAAGGUCAUGCAGCCUUCAUGCAAUCUCACCCGAAGGGUGUAUUUCCCCAGUGGAACCCCAACCCCUUCCCCAGAGGAGGCCUGGAGGAGGUGGCAGAGGAAGAAAGCGGUGUCUGCUGGGUCACCCAUGUACCCUCUUCUAUCCCUGGGUCCUUGGCAUAUUGGAGCUGCUGCCCUACAUCUCCCUGUUGCCCUGCUCUGAGAAGCAGAAUUUUGAAGAAUCCUGGAGGGCGGGGUGGCCUCAUUUUGGCGGUGGCCUCAUUCCUUGGUGUGCCAGGUAAUAAUAGCACGCCAUGUGUGGGAGGGAUCUCGCUCAGCAUACUGUCCAAGGGGGAAACUGGGCCACAGAACAGCGUGGGAGCCCCACUCAAGGUGACCCAGUAACUGAGGGUACAGACACACGACAUCCUGGGCCCUCUUUCCAUAUGGGAGCUCCAGAAAUGCUUUUGGGGUGGCCUUGGGCCAGUCCUUUGGGCCAUUGGGCAAUGGGGUCACUUCACUCCAAUCAAUUCUUCAUUCACUAAUAGCAUCAAAGAGAAGAUUGAAUUUUAAGAGUAAGUCAGAAAACACUAAGUGAGUCAGCGCUUGGGGGAAUUUGGGAUUUGGGGCCAACAAAACCUGAAGGCCAGAGCUGGUUUCUCCUUAGUUAAUGACUUGCGUUGCAGGCAGUGGACCUCAGUGUCCCCACCUUUGAGAUGGCGGAACAUUCAUUUUGUGGCAGUUAUUGAGUGAGUGCCUGCUGUGGACCCGACUCUGCAGUAGGUCCUGGAGUUCCAAAGAGUGAUUUCAGGUAAAAGUGAGGCAAGAAACAUCUACAAGUCAGAGGGCUGCAUGUACAGCUGUUGUGUUCUCCAACACAAGAAAGUUUGACUUAAUGAUUUUUUAAACUUUAUGACAGUGGGAAAAUGAUUCAAAUUCAUUAGACACCAUGCUCCGAGUUUUGAAUUUGUAUCUUUUCCUAGGCUUUCCAUAUACACUAGAUCCGGAAGAUUUAGAAUUUCUCCUGAUGCUGGGCAACAGCCAUGAGCCACAGCCCCUAGUCAGCUAUUGAAGCCCUUCAUCCAGGUAUUCCAGCUUUCUCUUUGUGUGUGUGUGUGUGUGUGUGUGUGUGUGUGUGUGUGUGAGAGAGAGAGAGAGAGAGAGAGAGAGAGAGAGAGAGAGAGAGAGAUUGUGUGCUGCAUAUAACCACUCUCUUGUCCACAUUCAGUACAGUAUUAAUUAAAUUUCUUUUCUUUUUUAGUUUUUCUUAAACUUUAAAGAUUAAAAUUUUAAAGAUUAAAAAGACUAACAAAAACAACAAUGAAGACAAAAUCAAAACAACACAAAAAUGAUACAUGACCUCAAAACAAAAUGAUAAGACUUAACAAUGGUUGCUACAUUACAUACUGUUAUCUUCAACAAAGUUGCUCAGUCCACCAGACGUAAGAAUGUAAGAUUGAUCAAACAAUCAAAGACAGUAACAAAUAAAAAAAAAAAAAACAUUGGAAAUGAUGCAGAGCUUCACCAUACAAGAUGGUAGGAGUUCAACAAUUUUCUUAUACUGCAUAUUGUUGUCUUCAGAUCAGUCUUUCUGAUUACCAGAUUCCAGCAUGCAAAAUUGGUCAAGAAAAAAGAAAAUUUUAAGCAUUGACUGUUCCUUUCAAUAAAUCACAGACAUCAGCAAUAUAUCUAUCCCAGCUGUCCUUGUACAGAAAGAAGAGAAAAAAUAUGUAUAUGUAUACACAAGAUAGCUAAGAUAAUUGCACUACUAAUAUCUGUUGGUUAUUUGAAAGAAACUGUUAAUGUGUAAUUGUUUGAUCAAUCUUACAUGCCUAUAUCUGGUUAUCUGUGCAACGAUUUUGAAGAUAAUAUUAUGUAAUAUAGCAACCAUUGGUAAUAUCCUAUCACCUUGUUUUGAAAUUCUGUAUCAUUUUUAUUUUUCUCUAGGCUGUUUUGUUUAAGUAUUUGUUUUUGUUAUUUUGGGGUUUUUUUCUUUUCUCUUUAAAAGUAUUACGUAAAUCUCAUGAGCUCUCCAACACUUUAUGGUACAAUAGGCUUUGUGUUUGAUGAUCUUGCCCCAUUUGGGUAAUGCACAACUUCUAAGCAUGUUUAAAGUAGGCUGGACUAACUUAGGAUGUUAGGUGUAUUAAGUAUUGUAAGUUUUGACUUACAAUAUUUUCAAGCUAUGAUGGGUUUCCGUACUCCCCACAAGAACUGAAUGUAGAUGGAAUGUUUCGAGUGCAGAAAGAAUGCAGGGUUUGGAGUCAGGCGGACAGUGUGACCUUAAGCAAAUUUGAAACUCACUGAACCUGUUUUAUUUUUUAAUGAAAAAAUACAAAAUUUGUAACAAAAUAAGAAGAGAAUAACAAGAGUUAAUACACUGCAUAUCAUUAUCUUCAAAGCAGUUGGUAUACAAGAUUCUUUUUUGUUUGUUUGUUUUUUUUCCCGUACCGGGAAUUGAACUCACGACCUUGUGCUUGCCAGGCAGGCACUGUGCUGCUAAGCUAAAUCCCCAGCCCCCAGUAUACAAGAUUCUUGCAAAGAAGAAACAAACAGAUAAUAAUACAAAACUUUCUUUUCAACAAACUAAGAUAAAGCAUAAAUGAAGCAAAUUAACCUUUAAAAAAAAAACAAAAAACAACUGCUAAAUAUAAAUAGGCACAGCCUCAGCCUCUUAGGACUGUUGAGGGUAUUAAAUGAUGUCACAGAUCCAAAGCACAAAGCCUAUGCAUAAUAUGUAUAUAAUAUAUCUCUUCCUUCUUUCUUUACAUGGUAGUAGAGUAUAGAAUAGUAAUGUUAAACUGAUAGACGCUGGGUUUGCCUGAGAACCAAUAAAUCAUCGCUUUUAAUUAGGAUGAAGUUAAUUUUUGUGUUUGGGUAUAUCAAGUAACAGUCUUCUUUAAGGCCUCAGAGAAUGAGAGCUCCCUGUUGGAUACUGGUAAGACCAAUCUCUGGAUGUGGGGAGGCUGAGGCAAGUGAGAGAGGGGUACAUUUUCAAAAGUUGACACGCAUCAAAUCUUUUUUUUUUGGUUUUUUUCUCUGGUACCAGGAACCGAACUCACGACCUUGCGCUUGCCAGGCAGGCGCUUUUGCCGCUGAGCUAAAUCCCCAGCCCUGACACGCAUCAAAUCUUGGUAAUGCACAUCCUGUUUUGGGUUUAUUAUGGGAGUUACAUAUCUGGGAAGAAUGUUUUUCACAAACCCGUGUGCAGAUGCUAGGACAUGGGGCCAUUUACCCAGUGGUUCUUAACCAGGUGUGAUUUUGUCCCCUGUGAGACAUUUGACACCAUCGGGAUGGGUGUUCUGGCAUCUGGUGCUCAGCGUCCUGCAAUGCACAGGACAGCUGCUGUUGCAGAGAACUGUCUGGACCAAAGCAUCAACAGUGCAGGAUUGAAAAAUUCUACCCAAACCCGAAGGUGAGGGAAGGGAUCCCUGAGGGAGGGGACUGACUUGCCAAGGUCAGAAAGCAUCUCUGAUGAUGGAGCUGGGAUGCAAAGUUGAGUCCAGUGAGUAGAUCCAGGUCUUCUAAGGUACCUGGGUGUCUUUGGCUCAUUGUGCAAAGAAAAUCAACUUUCAUCACGUUAAUGAGGUCUUACUCAUUAUCAUUUUUGAGGCUUUUCUCUCUUAUGAUAUCCUAAACGCUGCUUUGGUAAGUCCAGAUUUCCCUACUCUGUGAUUUCUAUGCAUAUGCUGUGUUGUGGUUGCUUCUAGAUGCCCCCUCACCCCAAAAGCCUCAUGGGGUCAUAGCUGGGGAAUUUCAAAGGAGGCUGGGUCAGGGUGUGUGAAUGUGGGUUAAGGGUGUAAUACUGGGAUAUGAGUGGCAUCAAUCAAUAGGCAUGGAGCAGGGAUGGAAUAUAAAGGGACAGAAAGAAGGUAGGCUUGUGGCUGAUGCUUGCUGCUUGCUGCUUGCUGCCUUCUGCCUUCUUCCUGCCACACCAUGAACUACUUCUCUGCAACGCUCCUCUGCCAUGCCCUGCUACCUUGGGGCCAGCUGACUAUGGACCCAAAGCUGUACAAACUGUGAGCUGAAAUAAACCUUUCCUCCUUUGGGUUGUGGGUGUCAGGUAUUUUGUCUCAACAACAAGAAAAGUAACUAAGAUAACCUGAGACCCUUAUAGGCCUUGGGUCUCAUGGAGUCUUCAUGAGGUCCUGGCAUUACUCAGUCCCCUGCUUGCAGGGGUGAGGUGGGUGAACAGUGCUGAGGAAUGGGCAGGUGUGGUUCAUAGGUGCCUGGGGGAGGGAUUAGCCAUCCAUACUGGGGUAAAGAGCCUGUAAUUUGAGAGGGUGGUGAGCUGUCCUUGUUUAUAAGUAGAGAGCCUUUCAAGUGAAGUGUCAGCAGGUGACCCAGGCCUUGGAACACCAGGCCUAGUGGACACCAUGGAUUUGGUUGCCCAAUGAGGGGCAGAAUGUCCUCUUACCCCUGCUGGCUUCUUCUUAUUCCUACUGGACACAGCUGCCAGGGUGGUGGAGGUGCCCCUGGCCAUAGCACCUUCCAGCCUGGGUGAGGUCCCCAGCCCUGGGGCUGGGGGAGAUGAGAGGGUGGGGCAGUGGACUCAUAGAGCUGGUCUUGCACAGGGCUGGCCCCUGCUGGCUGCUGCACCCCCUCAGUCUCACCUCAUCCUGUCCCUUCUGCAUCCCUCUUCUUCACCAGACCAGAUGCCAGACUUCAAAGCCAUCAGCAGUCAGGUGACUCCCAGGGCCAGGACACUGACCUUCUCCCCAGAGCAGCUUCCUCUGGCGAGCACAUGUCUACAGCCACUCCUGAAGGAGAGUCAGCAGGCAUGGCCUCAGCUCGGUUCCUGUUGACUCAGAACCACUUUGAAGAUGUUUACGGAGACUUCUUGGGGAAUGCACCAGGCUGCCUGUCAUCUUGUGGCCAUCUAGAGGUCACCUGAUGAGCAGUGGCUGUUGACACCUGCCCUUGGCUGGGUAGGUGCUCAGUUAGUGCAUGUUGAAUAAAUAUAUGAAAGUCGUGUGUAUUACAGAGUCUGACAGUAAAGGCUAAAGUCAC